UAAACGUUUUAAAAUGUGCUACCU
rnacentral:siRNA from 1 species